rnacentral:rRNA from 1 species
UACGUAGGGUGCAAGCGUUAAUCGGAAUACUGGGCGUAAAGCGUGCGCAGGCGGUUAUGUAAGACAGGUGUGAAAUCCCCGGGCUUAACCUGGGAACUGCAUUUGUGACUGCAUAGCUAGAGUACGGUAGAGGGGGAUGGGAAAUUCCGGCGUGUAGGCAGUGAAAUGCGUGAGAUAUGACGGAGGAACACCGAUGGCGAAGGACAAUCCCCUGGACCUGAUGCUCGACGGCUACAUGCAACGAAAGGCGUGG